rnacentral:piRNA from 1 species
UAGGAAGCUUCGAGUUGGAAUAUUUGCCAA